GGCCUCAUAGCUCAGGGGACAGAGCACCGCUCUCCUAAAGCGGGUGUCGCAGGUUCGAAUCCUGCUGGGGCCGCCA
rnacentral:tRNA from 3 species